CAUCAUACAGCCCCCCGGAAUGGACCCAUUUUGGCUGGUACUAUGGCAAGCCAGCUACCAUCUGGUCCCUGGGCAUCGUGCUGCACCAGAUGGUCUGCGGGGAGCACCCUUUCAGGAGGGACCAGAACAUCAGCUGGGACCAUCAGCUCUCGCUGCCACAACGGCUUUCUCCAGAGUGCCAAGAUCUGAUCAGGCAGUGUUUAUCCAUGCUGGACGUGGAAAGGCCCUCAUUAGAAGAGGUUUUCUGUCAUCCUUGGAUGCAGGAUAUUCAUCUGCCCUAGAAGAAGGGAGAGAGCCACAGGCACACUGUGCUGCAGAGCCCCGCUGGGGCCCUGGGCAGAACCCUGACAGCCUGGUCUGAGCCCAGGGAAGGAGAAGGAGCCCCUGGAAAAUCUGUAUCAGGUGGGGCUGCUGCUGCAGGAGACAGCGAGGAUCACAUCAAGGAUGACAGCCUCUCCCUGGACCUGGCCACUGAGGAAUCGUUCCAGCUGGGAUCCAGUCUGGAUCAGGAAGUGCUUGGGAGCAGCUCUGGCGUGGAUGGGCCGUGCCCUUGGAGCAGGCUGAGGACAUCGUUUGGGACCAGCUUUUCUUCCAGC